CAAUAGCGUAUAUUAAAGUUGUUGCGGUUAAAAAGCUCGUAGUUGGAUUUCUGCUGAGAACGACCGGUCCGCCCUUUGGGUGUGUAUCUGGCUCUUUCUUGGCAUCUUCUUGGUGAACGUUGCUGCACUUGACUGUGUGGAGCGCUACCCAGGACUUUUACUUUGAGGAAAUUAGAGUGUUUCAAGCAGGCAUACGCCUUGAAUACAUUAGCAUGGAAUAAUAAGAUAGGACCUCGGUUCUAUUUUGUUGGUUUCUAGAGCUGAGGUAAUGAUUAAUAGGGAUAGUUGGGGGUAUUCGUAUUCCAUUGUCAGAGGUGAAAUUCUUGGAUUUUUGGAAGACGAACUACUGCGAAAGCAUUUACCAAGGAUGUUUUCAUUAA
rnacentral:rRNA from 1 species